UACGUAGGUGGCGAGCGUUGUCCGGAUUUACCGGGCGUAAAGAGCGCGCAGGCGGUCGUGCAAGUCGCGUGUGAAAGCCCCCGGCUCAACUGGGGAGGGUCACGCGAUACUGCUCGACUCGAAGGCAGGAGAGGGAAGUGGAAUUCCCGGUGUAGUGGUGAAAUGCGUAGAUAUCGGGAGGAACACCAGUGGCGAAGGCGACUUCCUGGCCUGUUCUUGACGCUGAGGCGCGAAAGCUAGGGUAGCAAACGGG
rnacentral:rRNA from 1 species